AUGAACACUUUGCCUGAGAAUGUCAACAGCCAUUUAACUGGAGCCGGGUGUUUUCAGCCAGCUCACUUCUGCCAAGGGUUUUUAUCUAUUAGACAGUGGCUUGUUCAUAUAAAUUAUUUGGAUGCAUGUUCUGCUUGCAAACAAAUUGUACACACCUGCACCUCAGACAGGUCAUCUGCGGUGACCCGAGGAGAGAGGAGGAGGAAGCUGGGAGCUGCUGGGUGGGAUCGCAGCCCGCCGGCCACGUCCUUCCCAGGCUACAGUCAGCAAUUUAAAAGUUCAAACUUCAACAGCGAUUUCAAAGGCAGAAGUUGGAGCAUGCUGUGA
rnacentral:lncRNA from 1 species